rnacentral:rRNA from 5 species
AGACCCGAAACCCGGUGAUCUAGCCAUGGGCAGGUUGAAGGUUGGGUAACACUAACUGGAGGACCGAACCGACUAAUGUUGAAAAAUUAGCGGAUGACCUGUGGCUGGGGGUGAAAGGCCAAUCAAACCGGGAGAUAGCUGGUUCUCCCCGAAAGCUAUUUAGGUAGCGCCUCGUGAAUUCAUCUCCGGGGGUAGAGCACUGUUUCGGCUAGGGGGCCAUCCCGGCUUACCAACCCGAUGCAAACUGCGAAUACCGGAGAAUGUUAUCACGGGAGACACACGGCGGGUGCUAACGUCCGUCGUGAAGAGGGAAACAACCCAGACCGCCAGCUAAGGUCCCAAAGUCAUGGUUAAGUGGGAAACGAUGUGGGAAGGCCCAGACAGCCAGGAUGUUGGCUUAGAAGCAGCCAUCAUUUAAAGAAAGCGUAAUAGCUCACUGGUCGAGUCGGCCUGCGCGGAAGAUGUAACGGGGCUAAACCAUGCACCGAAGCUGCGGCAGCGAACGUAUCACCCAAGACAACUUUACGGAGUUGACGAUUGACGGAGCGAAGCGACGUCAAAGCGUUCAUUAAAGUCGAGUUGGCUUAGGGAUACGUUCGUUGGGUAGGGGAGCGUUCUGUAAGCCUGUGAAGGUGUGUCGUGAGGCAUGCUGGAGGUAUCAGAAGUGCGAAUGCUGACAUAAGUAACGAUAAAGCGGGUGAAAAGCCCGCUCGCCGGAAGACCAAGGGUUCCUGUCCAACGUUAAUCGGGGCAGGGUGAGUCGACCCCUAAGGCGAGGCCGAAAGGCGUAGUCGAUGGGAAACGGGUUAAUAUUCCCGUACUUGGUGUUACUGCGAAGGGGGGACGGAGAAGGCUAUGUUGGCCGGGCGACGGUUGUCCCGGUUUAAGCGUGUAGGUGUGUGUUCCAGGUAAAUCCGGUUCACUUUAACACUGAGGCGUGACGACGAGGCACUACGGUGCUGAAGCAACAAAUGCCCUGCUUCCAGGAAAAGCCUCUAAGCAUCAGGUAACACGAAAUCGUACCCCAAACCGACACAGGUGGUCAGGUAGAGAAUACCAAGGCGCUUGAGAGAACUCGGGUGAAGGAACUAGGCAAAAUGGUGCCGUAACUUCGGGAGAAGGCACGCUGACACGUAGGUGAAGUGAUUUACUCAUGGAGCUGAAGUCAGUCGAAGAUACCAGCUGGCUGCAACUGUUUAUUAAAAACACAGCACUGUGCAAACACGAAAGUGGACGUAUACGGUGUGACGCCUGCCCGGUGCCGGAAGGUUAAUUGAUGGGGUCAGCGCAAGCGAAGCUCCUGAUCGAAGCCCCGGUAAACGGCGGCCGUAACUAUAACGGUCCUAAGGUAGCGAAAUUCCUUGUCGGGUAAGUUCCGACCUGCACGAAUGGCGUAAUGAUGGCCAGGCUGUCUCCACCCGAGACUCAGUGAAAUUGAACUCGCUGUGAAGAUGCAGUGUACCCGCGGCAAGACGGAAAGACCCCGUGAACCUUUACUAUAGCUUGACACUGAACAUUGAGCCUUGAUGUGUAGGAUAGGUGGGAGGCUUUGAAGUGUGGACGCCAGUCUGCAUGGAGCCGACCUUGAAAUACCACCCUUUAAUGUUUGAUGUUCUAACGUGGACCCGUAAUCCGGGUUGCGGACAGUGUCUGGUGGGUAGUUUGACUGGGGCGGUCUCCUCCUAAAGAGUAACGGAGGAGCACGAAGGUUGGCUAAUCCUGGUCGGACAUCAGGAGGUUAGUGCAAUGGCAUAAGCCAGCUUGACUGCGAGCGUGACGGCGCGAGCAGGUGCGAAAGCAGGUCAUAGUGAUCCGGUGGUUCUGAAUGGAAGGGCCAUCGCUCAACGGAUAAAAGGUACUCCGGGGAUAACAGGCUGAUACCGCCCAAGAGUUCAUAUCGACGGCGGUGUUUGGCACCUCGAUGUCGGCUCAUCACAUCCUGGGGCUGAAGUAGGUCCCAAGGGUAUGGCUGUUCGCCAUUUAAAGUGGUACGCGAGCUGGGUUUAGAACGUCGUGAGACAGUUCGGUCCCUAUCUGCCGUGGGCGCUGGAGAACUGAGGGGGGCUGCUCCUAGUACGAGAGGACCGGAGUGGACGCAUCACUGGUGUUCGGGUUGUCAUGCCAAUGGCACUGCCCGGUAGCUAAAUGCGGAAGAGAUAAGUGCUGAAAGCAUCUAAGCACGAAACUUGCCCCGAGAUGAGUUCUCCCUGAGACUUAGAGUCUCCUGAAGGAACGUUGAAGACGACGACGUUGAUAGGCCGGGUGUGUAAGCGCAGCGAUGCGUUGAGCUAACCGGUACUAAUGAACCGUGAGGCUUAACCUUACAACGCCGAAG